AAAAGGUGGAAUUUGGACACCGAGACAUGUGCACAGGGAGAAUGUCACAUAAAUACAGAGACCCAGAGGGAAGAUGGCCAUGUGAAGAGGGAAGCAGAGACUGGACUUAUGCUACCACAAGCCAAGGAUUGCCAUGACCACUGGAGACAGGAAAGGCAGGGAAGGAUGCUCCC